CCGGCGCACGGGUGAGUAACGCGUAUGCAACCUACCUACUACUUUGGGAUAGCUCGUUGAAAGACGAAUUAAUACCUUAUAAAACAGGGGCUCCGCAUGGAGAUAUUUGUUAAAGAUUUAUCGGUAGUAGAUGGGCAUGCGUUCCAUUAGUUAGUUGGUGAGGUAACGGCUCACCAAGGCAACGAUGGAUAGGGGAACUGAGAGGUUUGUCCCCCACACUGGAACUGAGACACGGUCCAGACUCCUACGGGAGGCAGCAGUGAGGAAUAUUGGUCAAUGGAGGCAACUCUGAACCAGCCAAGUCGCGUGAAGGAUGACUGCCCUACGGGUUGUAAACUUCUUUUUUAAGGGAAUAAAGUGAGCCACGUGUGGCUUUUUGCAUGUACCUUACGAAUAAGGAUCGGCUAACUCCGUGCCAGCAGCCGCGGUAAUACGGAGGAUCCGAGCGUUAUCCGGAUUUAUUGGGUUUAAAGGGUGCGCAGGCGGAUUAUUAAGUCGGCGGUGAAAGUUUGCA
rnacentral:rRNA from 1 species